rnacentral:rRNA from 1 species
AAGACCAAAGAGGGGGACCUUCGGGCCUCUUGCCAUCAGAUGUGCCCAGAUGGGAUUAGCUUGUUGGUGAGGUAACGGCUCACCAAGGCGACGAUCCCUAGCUGGUCUGAGAGGAUGACCAGCCACACUGGAACUGAGACACGGUCCAGACUCCUACGGGAGGCAGCAGUGGGGAAUAUUGCACAAUGGGCGCAAGCCUGAUGCAGCCAUGCCGCGUGUAUGAAGAAGGCCUUCGGGUUGUAAAGUACUUUCAGCGGGGAGGAAGGUGUUGUGGUUAAUAACCGCAGCAAUUGACGUUACCCGCAGAAGAAGCACCGGCUAACUCCGUGCCAGCAGCCGCGGUAAUACGGAGGGUGCAAGCGUUAAUCGGAAUUACUGGGCGUAAAGCGCACGCAGGCGGUCUGUCAAGUCGGAUGUGAAAUCCCCGGGCUCAACCUGGGAACUGCAUUCGAAACUGGCAGGCUUGAGUCUUGUAGAGGGGGGUAGAAUUCCAGGUGUAGCGGUGAAAUGCGUAGAGAUCUGGAGGAAUACCGGUGGCGAAGGCGGCCCCCUGGACAAAGACUGACGCUCAGGUGCGAAAGCGUGGGGAGCAAACAGGAUUAGAUACCCUGGUAGUCCACGCCGUAAACGAUGUCUACUUGGAGGUUGUGCCCUUGAGGCGUGGCUUCCGGAGCUAACGCGUUAAGUAGACCGCCUGGGGAGUACGGCCGCAAGGUUAAAACUCAAAUGAAUUGACGGGGGCCCGCACAAGCGGUGGAGCAUGUGGUUUAAUUCGAUGCAACGCGAAGAACCUUACCUGGUCUUGACAUCCACGGAAGUUUUCAGAGAUGAGAAUGUGCCUUCGGGAACCGUGAGACAGGUGCUGCAUGGCUGUCGUCAGCUCGUGUUGUGAAAUGUUGGGUUAAGUCCCGCAACGAGCGCAACCC